AGCGAACAUUGGCGGUAGGCUUAACACAUGCAAGUCGAGCGAGGCGUAAUAGUCGAGCGGCGAACGGGUGAGUAAUACUUGGGAAUCUGCCCUGAAGUGGGGGAUAACGUCCAGAAAUGGACGCUAAUACCGCAUAAUCCAUAUCGGGAAAGCGCGCUGCGCUUUAGGAUGAGCCCAAGUCUGAUUAGCUAGUUGGCGGGGUAAAGGCCCACCAAGGCGACGAUCAGUAGCUGGUCUGAGAGGAUGAUCAGCCACACUGGAACUGAGACACGGUCCAGACUCCUACGGGAGGCAGCAGUGGGGAAUCUUGCGCAAUGGGGGACAACCCUGACGCAGCCAUACCGCGUGUGUGAUGAAGGUCUUCGGAUUGUAAAGCACUUUCAGCGGGGACGACAAUGACGGUACCCGCAGAAGAAGUCACGGCUAACUUCGUGCCAGCAGCCGCGGUAAU
rnacentral:rRNA from 1 species